rnacentral:rRNA from 1 species
CACCUCUAGCAUUACCAGUAUUAGAGGCACUGCCUGCCCAGUGACAUUAGUUAAACGGCCGCGGUAUCCUGACCGUGCAAAGGUAGCAUAAUCAUUUGUUCCUUAAUUAGGGACUUGUAUGAAUGGCCCCACGAGGGUUUAACUGUCUCUUACUUUUAAUCAGUGAAAUUGACCUUCCCGUGAAGAGGCGGGAAUAUAACAAUAAGACGAGAAGACCCUAUGGAGCUUAAAUUAAUAUGCUCAACAAAAUUUAAAUUUAGCCCAAUAGGAGUAAUCAUAAUUUAACUGAGCAACAAAUUUUGGUUGGGGUGACCUCGGAGUAUAGCAAAACCUCCGAGUGAUUUUAACUAAGACAUACUCGUCAAGGUUACAUAACUUAUUGAUCCAAUCAUAUUGAUCAACGAAACAAGUUACCCUAGGGAUAACAGCGCAAUCCUAUUCGAGAGUUCAUAUCGACAAUAGGGUUUACGACCUCGAUGUUGGAUCAGGACACCCAAAUGGUGCAGCAGCUAUUAAAGGUUCGUUUGUUCAACG